ACGAACGCUGGCGGCGUGCCUAAUACAUGCAAGUCGAGCGGACUUAAAAAGCUUGCUUUUUAAGUUAGCGGCGGACGGGUGAGUAACACGUGGGCAACCUGCCUGUAAGACUGGGAUAACUUCGGGAAACCGGAGCUAAUACCGGAUAAUCCUUUUCUACUCAUGUAGAAAAGCUGAAAGACGGUUUACGCUGUCACUUACAGAUGGGCCCGCGGCGCAUUAGCUAGUUGGUGAGGUAACGGCUCACCAAGGCGACGAUGCGUAGCCGACCUGAGAGGGUGAUCGGCCACACUGGGACUGAGACACGGCCCAGACUCCUACGGGAGGCAGCAGUAGGGAAUCUUCCGCAAUGGACGAAAGUCUGACGGAGCAACGCCGCGUGAGUGAUGAAGGUUUUCGGAUCGUAAAACUCUGUUGUUAGGGAAGAACAAGUACGAGAGUAACUGCUCGUACCUUGACGGUACCUAACCAGAAAGCCACGGCUAACUACGUG
rnacentral:rRNA from 1 species